rnacentral:lncRNA from 1 species
UUCACUAAGAUAUUUUCAUUCAAAAAAGAAAAUAGAACACAUUUAAUGACAAUCCUUACUUCCUGCGAACCACAUCACAUAAUGAAAAGCAAAAACAUAAAAUUUAACAAGCUACGAUGAGAUUAGAGUGUGGCUGCAUUAAUGAAAAUACACUGAAUUGAUAGUUUCUGCAAGUGCAAGAGGACAACCACAGUAACAAGAGGGCCCUCCCUUGUUAUCUUUAUUCCUCCAACCUUCUUCCCCACCUUCACAN